rnacentral:rRNA from 1 species
GUUGAACGCUGGCGGCAGGCCUAACACAUGCAAGUCGAGCGGAGUGGCGGACGGGUGAGUAAUGCCUAGGAAUAUACCUGGUAUAUGGGGAUAACGUCCGGAAAGGGGCGCUAAUACCGCAUACUAUCAGAUGAGACUAGGGCGGAUGAGCGAGUUGGUGGGGUAAGGGCCUACCAAGGCGACUCACCGAAACUGGUAUGAGAGGAUGAUCAGUAACACUGGAACUGAGACACGGUCCAGACUCCUACGGGAGGCAGCAGUGGGGAAUAUUGGACAAUGGGCGAAAGCCUGAUCCAGCCAUGCCGCGUGUGUGAAGAAGGUCUUCGGAUGGUAAAGCACUUUUAGUUGGGAAGCGUUACCAACAGAAUAAGCACCGGCUAACUACGUGCCAGCAGCCGCGGUAAUAC